GAGCGAGAGAGAGCUUGCUUUCUCGAGCGAGUGGCGAACGGGUGAGUAACGCGUGAGGAACCUGCCUCAAAGAGGGGGACAACAGUUGGAAACGACUGCUAAUACCGCAUAAGCCCACGACCCGGCAUCGGGUAGAGGGAAAAGGAGCAAUCCGCUUUGAGAUGGCCUCGCGUCCGAUUAGCUAGUUGGUGAGGUAACGGCCCACCAAGGCGACGAUCGGUAGCCGGACUGAGAGGUUGAACGGCCACAUUGGGACUGAGACACGGCCCAGACUCCUACGGGAGGCAGCAGUGGGGAAUAUUGCACAAUGGGGGAAACCCUGAUGCAGCGACGCCGCGUGGAGGAAGAAGGUCUUCGGAUUGUAAACUCCUGUUGUUGAGGAAGAUAAUGACGGUACUCAACAAGGAAGUGACGGCUAACUACGUGCCAGCAGCCGCGGUAAAACGUAGGUCACAAGCGUUGUCCGGAAUUACUGGGUGUAAAGGGAGCGCAGGCGGGAAGGCAGGUUGGAAGUGAAAUCCAUGGGCUCAACCCAUGAACUGCUUUCAAAACUGUUUUUCUUGAGUAGUGCAGAGGUAGGCGGAAUUCCCGGUGUAGCGGUGGAAUGCGUAGAUAUCGGGAGGAACACCAGUGGCGAAGGCGGCCUACUGGGCACCAACUGACGC
rnacentral:rRNA from 1 species